AUUUUUACCGGUGUUUGAAAGCUUACCCAAAUUAAACACUUGUUUAAAUUAAUAUGCUUUAAUGGUCGUCUUUCUGCAUCAGAAAAAACAGUGGCCCAUUCCUCGCGCUCUUCUCGAAGGAAAUCUCCACGAUUCUUCUCAGAUUUCUAGAUAAGCCGGAAAGCUUGCUAUGCCUAUGGGAAACAAGCAAUAGGUGAGGAGGCAGCGAAUCGGGUGUAAACGUUGAAUUUUUUGCGCUGCCUUUCUGUGAACAUUCAGUAAACUUUUACUAGGGAAAUGACAUCAGAAAGGGACGUGUUUAGCAUCUCAGGACCUAUCCACUUAUCCUCUCCUUUAAAUUGGAAAUGUACACAUCAUCGAAGAUCUGUUGCUGCCUGUUUGGUUCAGAGCGUAUAUAUCUUAGAGCGUGACCGGCAAGAACAUCGUGAGGAACCAGAAGCUCUUGCACCUCCAUGGUGGGAAUCCUUCCAUUUUGAACUGAAUCGAAAGCUUGUUGAUGAUGCCGAUUCGUCCAUCUUUGGAGCUAUUUUUGAAUAUAAGCCUCCUACUUCCAAUCUCACCAUUGCCGAUGCUCCAAGGUUUGUCAUUGUUUUCCGUGGUACGAUCACUAAGAAAGACUCCCUUAAUCGGGAUCUCAGGCUCGAUUGGCAUUUGAUUCAAAACUCCCUCCAUCAGACCACACGAUUUGAGAUCGCAAUGCAAGCUGUUCGGAACAUUGUUUCGGCUGUUGGAAACUCAAAUAUCUGGCUUGCUGGUCAUUCUUUAGGAUCAGCCAUGGCUUCUCUUGCUGGAAGGAACAUGGCAAAGAUUGGCAUUCUUCUGGAAGCAUAUCUUUUCAAUCCACCGUUCUUCUCAGCUCCAAUUGAGAGGAUCAAAGGUCAGAAGGUAAAGAAUGGAAUUCGAAUUGCAAACAGUUUUGUGACUGCUGGUCUAAGUUUUAUCCUCCAAGGCCAGCAAGAGAGUUCUACAUUAGAAGAUCCCUUUGUUUCUUUGUCCUCAUGGGUGCCGAAUCUAUUUGUUAAUCCAAAUGAUCACAUCUGCUCAGAGUAUAUUGGAUAUUUUCAACAUCGUAAAAAUAUGGAAGAUUUGGGAAUCGGAAUGAUUGAGAAGUUGGCAACCCGGAAUUCCUUGGGGGAUAUAUUUCUUAGGGCACUUGGAAAGGAAUCUGAGCCUCUGCACCUUCUACCGUCAGCAAAAUUAAUACUCAAUUUGAGCCCUUCUCCAGACUUCAAAACGGCACAUGGUAUUCAUCAAUGGUGGAGACCCGAUUUACAUCUACAAACAAUGACUUAUAUCUAUAGUUGAUAUCUGCCGUCGUGUUGCUCAAUUAUAGUAGCUGGAACAGGAAUCCAUAUAUCUGUGAUGCUGAGGCUUCCAAGGAUCCUUUGUUUGGCUAUCACCGUUUAGUUGCUUCUCAACAGGUUUAAAAGUUCAGUGGCUUCCCAGUUAUGUUGUUCCUGCAUUUGUUUUAGAGAACCUUUUCCUGCCACUCUUUUUUAGAACAACUUUGGUGUUUUUAAUUGCGAUUUCUGCAGCUGGAUGCUGAAUUAUUCCUUCGAUCUUCCUCUGUUAUUGCUUUUAAGAUUUCUCUAUUUUUGGACUGAUUUGAUUUGGUGGUUACAGAAUUAUUUUGUGAUUAAAAUAGAAGUUUAGGCAUAUCCGAGACCCAAUG